rnacentral:rRNA from 1 species
UACGUAGGGUGCAAGCGUUAAUCGGAAUUACUGGGCGUAAAGCGUGCGCAGGCGGUUCUAUAAGACAGAUGUGAAAUCCCCGGGCUCAACCUGGGAACUGCAUUUGUGACUGUAGAGCUGGAGUACGGUAGAGGGGGAUGGAAUUCCGCGUGUAGCAGUGAAAUGCGUAGGUAUGCGGAGGAACACCGAUGGCGAAGGCAAUCCCCUGGACCUGUACUGACGCUCAUGCACGAAAGCGUGGGGAGCAAACAGG